GACGAACGCUGGCGGCGUGCUUAACACAUGCAAGUCGAACGGUAAGGCCCUUCGGGGUACACGAGUGGCGAACGGGUGAGUAACACGUGGGUGAUCUGCCCUGCACUUCGGGAUAAGCCUGGGAAACUGGGUCUAAUACCGGAUAGGACCCUGGGAUGCAUGUCCUGGGGUGGAAAGCUUUUGCGGUGUGGGAUGGGCCCGCGGCCUAUCAGCUUGCUGGUGGGGUGAUGGCCUCCCAAGGCGACGACGGGUAGCCGGCCUGAGAGGGCGACCGGCCACCCUGGGAAUGAGCUACGGCCCAGACUCCGACGGGAGGCAGCAGUGGGGAAUAUUGCACAAUGGGCGCAAGCCUGAUGCAGCGACGCCGCGUGAGGGAUGACGGCCUUCGGGUUGUAAACCUCUUUCAGCACCGACGAAGCGCAAGUGACGGUAGGUGCAGAAGAAGGACCGGCCAACUACGUGCCAGCCGCCGCAGUAA
rnacentral:rRNA from 1 species